rnacentral:rRNA from 1 species
GUGAGGAAUAUUGGUCAAUGGGCGAGAGCCUGAACCAGCCAAGUCGCGUGAGGGAAGAAUGGUCUAUGGCCUGUAAACCUCUUUUGUCAGGGAAGAAUAAGGAUGACGAGUCAUUCGAUGCCAGUACUUGACGAAUAAGCAUCGGCUAACUCCGUGCCAGCAGCCGCGGUAAUACGGGGGAUGCGAGCGUUAUCCGGAUUUAUUGGGUUUAAAGGGCGCGUAGGCGGGACGUCAAGUCAGCGGUAAAAGACUGCAGCUAAACUGUAGCACGCCGUUGAAACUGGCGCCCUGGAGACGAGACGAGGGAGGCGGAACAAGUGAAGUAGCGGUGAAAUGCAUAGAUAUCACUUGGAACCCCGAUAGCGAAGGCAGCUUCCCAGGCUCGUUCUGACGCUGAUGCGCGAGAGCGUGGGUAGCGAACAGGAUUAGAAACCCCAGUAGUCC